CUAUUUCGAACAUUAAGAUGGAAUGAUCGCUCAAACCUGGCAGUAAAGCUAUAGAGGAAGCAAGAUUGGGAUAAGUGUAUACCCACUCCUAUAAUUCCCAGGAGCCCAUGGAAAAGGGAAGUGUCUAAUACUGAACUAAGAAAUUGUUCCUGCACAAACAGGUAAGUUGUAACCACUAACUCACAUACUGAAAUAAACUGCAAAACACCAAGAAAAUUCAGCAUCAACUUACAUGGAUAGGAGAUUACAUGUUACUGCAAAUUAUGAGUCUAAGCACAAGACAAAAAUGCAUUCGAUGUAGUAUUGUUUCUUGAUUGAGAUAUACUUGAUGCAAUGACAGUUGGAACACCGAUAAAUCAAACAGCACAUUUUUUUGCUAGCGCUUCACAUUGUAAUCUGCUGAAAAAUGAAGUGAACCAGCUGCUUGCAGUAUUGAAAGUGAUCUGUUGGUGGGAUCCUUUACCUUGUAAGAGUUCCACAUAGAAGCUGUGUCUUGCAUCAGAUGUCCAGGUUUAUAGUGAUAAGAUCCUGCAUGAAGAGCUACUUUGAUAUGCCCUUUGCUAGGAAACACAUAAAUGGCUCUAAUAACACUAACUUUUGACAGAUACUUCGCCUUUUGUCGCACAAUUCAUAGGAAUGCUCCUUGUAGAAAAACACUCACGGCAAUAAUUUAUUUGACAAUUUUGCACAACCGUGACAUCAACUUGGUCAUGACAGUGAGUGGUUCGAUGUUUGGUCUAAAAAGCAUACAUUUCGUCCAAUAAACUGGCAACAAAGUCCCAGCCAUUCUGUGCUUCAUGCAAAAGAACGAAAAUUCUUGCCAACACAAAACU